GCUCGUAAUCUGUGCGCUCUUAGGUGCAGCGCCCCACAGACAAAGGCAGACUGCUGCAUCGCACGCUGAUCACUCGGGACUCUCCUGUAAACUUUCUCCACCACUUAUAAAACUUCUUUUGAGUACUUUUCAACAAUGGAGAAGAAACAUUCAACUCUUAGAGGGAUGUGGCGGACAUUUUAUGAGAAAUUCAGCAGGGCUCAGACGGUGAAUUUGAGGACUCCUCUGACUUAGCAGAAACGACGUCGUCUCCGAGGAGGAGGCAUUGUUUACAUUAGAAGUGGACCUCGUUUACUAGUAAGUAUUUGCAUUUAUUUAUAAGGCUCAGUGUUGUGUAGACUGAUAUGCAUGAUAUGCAUAACACCUUUGUCAUGAAACUGUAAACACAGUAGUAAGUAUGGCAAUCCAAUAGCAUUGAAUAUUACUGCAGUUCCACUAUAUUUGUUCGUUUUGGGCUUACUUUGCUUGCAGACGUUGCAUUUUAUCUGUCUUUGAAUAUAUUAUUUAUGAAAACAAAAACAUGAAGUAAAUACAAAUGCAAACAAAAUAUAGUACAGGUCAUGGUUACUCAAAUUAUUGAAUAAGUUUACAUAUAUCCACAACCUUUGUGUCCUUCAGGGAAAUGUUCAGAUGUUAUUAUUUAUUUUGUGUUCUACAUAGUAAUUUAUCUUCAUUUUCACAGCCACUAAGAAGAGGGGAGUGAGGCACAUCCACCCCCCAUCAGGGGUUUUCACACCUACUGUACUCCCUGCACCAGUCGCCCAACCCCCACCCUGACCUGCAACAAAGGUUGCACUGAGUGGUUGUUUGUUUGCACUUUUCUUUGAAUAAAAAUACUCCAUGUGGAGCCCAAAAAA